AAUACCUAAACUCUGUCAUCCAGCCAGUCAAUACCUAAACUCUGUCAUCUAGUCAGCCAGUCCAUCCCUAAACUCUGUCAUCAGGUCAGCCAGUCAAUAACAAAACUCUGUCAUCCAGUCAGUCAGCCAGUACAUCCCUAAACUCUGUCAUCCAGCCAGUCAACCAGUCCGUCACUAAACUCUGUCAUGCAGCCAGUCAGCCAGUCAAUACCUAAACUCUGUCAUCCAGUCAGUCAGCCAGUACAUCCCUAAACUAUGUCAUCCAGCCAGUCAGCCAUUCAAUAUGUAAAUACUGUCAUCCAGACUGUCGAUCCCUAAUCUCUAGCAUUCAGUCAGCCAGUCAAUACCUAAUCUCUGUCAUCCAGCUAGUCAACCAGUCCAUCCCUAAACUCUGUCAUCCAGCCAUUCCAUCACUAAACUCUGUCAUCCAGCCAGUCAAUACCUAUACUCUGUCAUCCAGUCAGCCAGUCAAUACCUAAUAUCUGUCGUCCAGUCAGCCUGUCCAUACCAAAACUCUGUCAUCCAGUCAGCCAGUCCAGACCAAAACUCUGACAUCCAGCCAGUUUAUACCUAAACUCUGUCAUCCAGCCAGUCAAUACCUAAACUCUGUCAUCCAGCCAGUCAAUACCUAAACUCUGUCAUCUAGUCAGCCAGUCCAUCCCUAAACUCUGUCAUCAGGUCAGCCAGUCAAUAACAAAACUCUGUCAUCCAGUCAGUCAGCCAGUACAUCCCUAAACUCUGUCAUCCAGCCAGUCAACCAGUCCGUCACUAAACUCUGUCAUGCAGCCAGUCAGCCAGUCAAUACCUAAACUCUGUCAUCCAGUCAGUCAGCCAGUACAUCCCUAAACUAUGUCAUCCAGCCAGUCAGCAAUUCAAUAUGUAAAUACUGUCAUCCAGACUGUCGAUCCCUAAUCUCUAGCAUUCAGUCAGCCAGUCAAUACCUAAUCUCUGUCAUCCAGCUAGCCGACCAGUCCAUCCCUAAACUCUGUCAUCCAGUCAGUCAAUACCUAAACUCUGUCAUCCAGCCAGUCAAUUCCUAAACUCUGUCAUCCAGCCAGUCAAUACCUAUACUCUGUCAUCCAUUCAGCCAGUCAAUACCUAAACUCUGUCAUCCAGCCAGUCCAUCACUAAACUCUGUCAUACAGCUAGUCAAACAAUCAAUACCUAAACUCUGUCAUCCAGUCAGUCAAUACAUAAACUCUGUCAUCCAGCCAGUCAAUACCUAAACUCUGUCACCCAGUCAGUCAACACCUAAACUCUGUCAUCCAGUCAGUCAAUACCUAAACUCUGUCAUCCAGUCAGUCAAAAUCUAAACUCUGUCAUCCAGUAAGCCAGUCAAUACCUAAACUCUGUCAUCCAGCCAAUCCAUCCCUAAACUCUGUCAUCCAGUCAGUCAAUACCUAAACUCUGUCAUCCAGCCAGUCAAUACCUAAACUCUGUCAUCCAGCCAGUCAAUACCUAAACUCUGUCAUCCAGUCAGCCAGUCCAUCCUGAACUAUGUCAUCCUGCCAGUCAAUACCUAAACUCUGUCAUCCAGUCAGUCAACCAGUCCAUCCCUAAACUAUGUCAUCCAGCCAGUCCAUCCCUAAUCUCUGUCAUCCAGCCAGUCCAUCUCUAACUCUGUCAUAAAGCCAUCCAGUCCAUACCUAAACUCUGUCAUCCAGUCAGCCAGUCAAUAAUUAAACUCUGUCAUCCAGCUAGUCAACCAGUCCAUCCCUAAACUCUGUCAUCCAGCCAUUCCAUCACUAAACUCUGUCAUCCAGCCAGUCCAUCCCUAAACUCUGUCAUCCAGCCAGUCAAUAUCUAUACUCUGUCAGCCAGUCAAUACCUAAACUCUGUCAUCCAGCCAGUCCAUCACUAAACUCUGUCAUCCAGUCAGCCAGUCAAUACCUAAACUCUGUCAUCCAGUCAGUCAAUACCUAAACUCUGUCAUCCAGCCAGUCAAUACCUAAACUCUGUCAUCCAGUCAGUCAAUACCAAAACUCUGUCAUCCAGUCAGUCAAUACCUAAACUCUGUCAUCCAGCCAGUCCAUCCCUAAACUCUGUCAUCCAGCCAGUCAAUACCUAAACUCUGUCAUCCAGCCAGUCAAUACCUAAACUCUGUCAUCCAGUCAGCCUGUCUAUACCAAAACUCUGUCAUCCAGCCAGUUUAUACCUAAACUCUGUCAUCCAGCCAGUCAAUACCUAAACUCUGUCUUCCAGCCAGUCAAUACCUAAACUCUGUCAUCUAGUCAGCCAGUCCAUCCCUAAACUCUGACAUCAGGUCAGCCAGUCAAUAAAAAACUCUGUCAUCCAGUCAGUCAGCCAGUACAUCCCUAAACUCUGUCAACCAGCCAGUCAGCCAGUCAAUACCUAAACUCUGUCAUCCAGUCGGUCAGCCAGUACAUGCCUAAACUAUGUCAUCCAGCCAGUCAGCCAUUCAAUGUGUAAAUAUUGUCAUCCAGACAGUCGAUCCCUAAACUCUAUCAUUCAGUCAGCCAGUCAAUACCUAAACUCUGUCAUCCAGCUAGCCGACCAGUCCAUCCCUAAACUCUGUCAUCCAGUCAGUCAAUAACUAAACUCUGUCAUCCAUCAGUCAAUACCUAAACUCUGUCAUCCUGUCAGCCAGUCCAUCCUGAACUAUGUCAUCCUGCCAGUCAAUACCUAAACUCUGUCAUCCAGUCAGUCAACCAGUCCAUCCCUGAACUCUGUCAUCCAGCCAGUCCAUCCCUAAUCUCUGUCAUCCAGCCAGUCCAUCUCUAACUAUGUCAUAAAGCCAUCCAGUCCAUACCUAAACUCUGUCAUCCAGUCAGCCAGUCAAUAAUUAAACUCUGUCAUCCAGCUAGUCAACCAGUCCAUCCCUAAACUCUGUCAUCCAGCCAUUCCAUCACUAAACUCUGUCAUCCAGCCAGUCAAUACCUAUACUCUGUCAUCCAGUCAGCCAGUCAAUACCUAAACUCUGUCAUACAGUCAGUCAACACCUAAACUCUGUCAUCCAGCCAGUCAAUACCUAAACUCUGUCAUCCAGUCAGUCAAUACCUAAACUCUGUCAUCCAGCCAGGCAGUCCAUCCCUGAACUCUGUCAUCCAGCCAGUCAAUACCUAAACUCUGUCAUCCAGCCAGUCAAUAACUAAACUCUGUCAUCCAGCCAGUCAAUACCUAAACUCUGUCAUCCAGCCAGUCAAUACCUAAACUCUGUCAUCCAGUCAACCAGUCAAUACCUAAACUCUGUCAUCCAGUCAGUCAAUACCUAAACUCUGUCAUCCAGCCAGGCAGUCCA
rnacentral:lncRNA from 1 species